UACCAGCACCCCGAGUGGUCGGGACGUUUAUUGGGCCUAAAGCAUCCGUAGCCGGUUCUACAAGUCUUCCGUUAAAUCCAACUGCUUAACAGGUGGGCUGCGGAAGAUACUAUAGAGCUAGGAGGCGGGAGAGGCAAGCGGUACUCGAUGGGUAGGGGUAAAAUCCGUUGAUCCAUUGAAGACCACCAGUGGCGAAGGCGGCUUGCCAGAACGCGCUCGACGGUAAGGGAUGAAAGCUGGGGGAGCAAACCGG
rnacentral:rRNA from 1 species